rnacentral:rRNA from 1 species
GACGAACGCUGGCGGCGUGCUUAACACAUGCAAGUCGAACGGGUCUGCCCUGUUUUUUGCGGGGUGGGUCAGUGGCGAACGGGUGAGUAACACGUGAGUAACCUGCCCCUCACUUCUGGAUAACCGCUUGAAAGGGUGGCUAAUACGGGGUGUUCCGGCUGUGCCGCAUGGUGUGGCUGGGAAAGAUUCACUUUUGUGGUGUUUUGGUGGGGGAUGGGCUCGCGGCCUAUCAGCUUGUUGGUGGGGUGAUGGCCUGCCAAGGCUUUGACGGGUAGCCGGCCUGAGAGGGUGGGCGGUCACACUGGGACUGAGAUACGGCCCAGACUCCUGCGGGAGGCAGCAGUGGGGGGUAUUGCACAAUGGGCGGAAGCCUGAUGCAGCGACGUCGCGUGAGGGAUGGAGGCCUUCGGGUUGUGAACCUCUUUCGCCGGUGAAGAAGGUCCUGCUCUUUGUGGUGGGGUUGACGGUAGCCGGGUUAUGAAGCGCCGGCUAACUACGUG